rnacentral:rRNA from 1 species
UAGGGAAUCUUCCACAAUGGACGCAAGUCUGAUGGAGCAACGGCCGCGUGAGUGAAGAAGGUUUUCGGACCGUAAAGCUCUGUUGUUGGUGAAGAAGGAUAGAGGUAGUAACUGGCCUUUAUUUGACGGUAAUCAACCAGAAAGUCACGGCUAACUACGUGCCAGCAGCCGCGGUAAUACGUAGGUGGCAAGCGUUGUCCGGAUUUAUUGGGCGUAAAGCGAGCGCAGGCGGAAGAAUAAGUCUGAUGUGAAAGCCCUCGGCUUAACCGAGGAAUUGCAUCGGAAACUGUUUUUCUUGAGUGCAGAAGAGGAGAGUAGAACUCCAUGUGUAGCGGUGGAAUGCGUAGAUAUAUGGAAGAAUACCAGUGGCGAAGGCGGCUCUCUGGUCUGCAACUGACGCUGAGGCUCGAAAGCAUGGGUAGCGAACAGGAUUAGAUACCCUUGGUAGUCCAUGCCGUAAACGAUGAGUGCUAAGUGU